AUACUGAAGGUGCCAGAAGAUCAAGGUCAUGGAGCUGCUAGUAUCUUAAACAAGUAGAUAAAAAUCUGGAGGAUUUAAAUAAUCCAGGUGGUCAGAAAUGCAGUGCCAAUUAUAAUUCAAACUCAGCUUAGGAGGCAGCUUCUCUUCCUUGGAAUACCCUGUUAGACAACACAGGCUGUGUAGAGGUUGUCUAUGGCAGCCCUGUGCUGAAGAUUACAUACCUAGAAACAGUUCAAGGAAAGGCAGUCUUUGAUGUUUGACCUUCAUCUGUGUCUUGGAUUGUGGUAACUUUCAAAGAAGACAGGCUUCUAGGAAACAUGAAACCUGAAGGAUUUCUCUGUCACAGAGCACCUCUGGCCUGUAAUGAUUUAGUUUACCUCCUGAACUUAUAGAAGACCAUCUAAACACCACAUUCUCCUUUAUCCAAUUCAGAGGCAGUUUUGGAUUACAGAAAGUCAAGUCAGUAGAGUCAGGCUUGCAGGUCCAUCUCUGGAUGAUGUCGGGGAUAGACCGUAUUCCUUCAUUGUAGAUCAGAAUGAGGACAAGCAAAGGAACACUCAGAGCCUGUAUGUUUGCAGGUUGAUUCUGCACUGCAACAAUAGAAACUCUGGUUCCCAGGAGAGCAGCAAAGUGAAAUGGUUGAUUACACUUCUCAAAGUUUGACCUUGGUUUUAUAUAUAAAGUUUUCAUGUGUGCAAACAAAUGAAAGAAAUAAGCACAUAUACAUAUAUACAUGCUUGUUUAUCCACAGUAAACACCUGGAAUGGCACAGACCCAGUGCUUUUGAGGACAAGGGGUUUGCUGCAGAAAGAUCUAAUUUUUAUUUAAUACCAACAUGCCCUUGUAGGAAAUGU
rnacentral:lncRNA from 1 species